UGCACCUGUAGCUCAGUGGAUAGAGCAGCAGAAUCCGGAUCUGCGUGCGGGGGUUCGAUUCCCUUCAGGUGUGU
rnacentral:tRNA from 1 species